rnacentral:rRNA from 1 species
AACGAACGCUGGCGGCAUGCCUAACACAUGCAAGUCGAACGAUGCCUUCGGGCAUAGUGGCGCACGGGCGCGUAACGCGUGGGAAUCUGCCUUUCGGUUCGGAAUAACUCAGGGAAACUUGAGCUAAUACCGGGUAACGUCGCAAGACCAAAGAUUUAUCACCGAAAGAUGAGCCCGCGUAGGAUUAGCUAGUUGGUGAGGUAAAGGCUCACCAAGGCGACGAUCCUUAGCUGGUCUGAGAGGAUGAUCAGCCACACUGGGACUGAGACACGGCCCAGACUCCUACGGGAGGCAGCAGUGGGGAAUAUUGGACAAUGGGCGAAAGCCUGAUCCAGCAAUGCCGCGUGAGUGAUGAAGGCCUUAGGGUUGUAAAGCUCUUUUACCCGGGAAGAUAAUGACGGUACCGGGAGAAUAAGCCCCGGCUAACUCCGUG